rnacentral:lncRNA from 10 species
GGGAAACACUGACCACAGAAGACAAGUUGAGUUAUGUCUCACUGCUACAGAGAUGAACAUUCACCCUGGGAAAAAAGCCAACUGCUGUGUUCGGACACUUAAAGCCUAUGGACAGGCCUAUGUGUUGAGGAACUGAGAUAUCCAGCCAACAGCCAGCAAGGAACUGAGGUCUGACAACAACCUCAUGAGAGAGAUUGGAAGCAGAUCCUGCAGCCCCAGUCAAGCCUUUCAGUUGCUGACACCUUGACAGCAACCUCAUGAGAGACGCUGAGCCACGUGAUGAGGCUAAGCUGCGCCCAGACUUCUGUCUCAUAACAGCUAUGAGAUAAUAAAUGUUUGUUUUAAGCCACUAUUUCGGGAGGUAAUUUGUUACAGAUAAUUAGAUAACUUCACUUGUCUCUCGGUAACCAUGGGAGAUUGGUUCCGGGACCCCCUGCAGAUACCAAACUCCAUGAAUACUCAAGACUCUUAUAUAAAAUGGUGUAGUAUUUGCAUAUAACCUACACACAUCCUUCUGUAUACUUUAAAUCACUUCUAGAUUACUUAUAAUAC